AGCAGCCGCGGUAAUUCCAGCUCCAAUAGCGUAUAUUAAAGUUGCUGCAGUUAAAAAGCUCGUAGUUGAAUUUCGGGACUAAUAUGUCGGUCGUGCCUUGGUACGUACUGGUAUUUUUGGUUUCUCCCUUCUGACGAACCUUGAUGUCAUUAAUUUGGUGUCUUGGGAAAUCAGGACUGUUACUUUGAAAAAAUUAGAGUGUUUAAAGCAGGCUCACGCUUGAAUACAUUAGCAUGGAAUAAUGAAAUAGGACGUUUGAUUCUAUUUUGUUGGUUUCUAGGAUCGACGUAAUGAUUAAUAGGGAUAGUUGGGGGCAUUAGUAUUCAAUUGUCAGAGGUGAAAUUCUUGGAUUUAUUGAGGACUAACUACUGCGAAAGCAUUUGCCAAGGAUGUUUUCAUUAAUCAAGAACGAAAGUUAGGGGAUCGAAGACGAUCAGAUACCGUCGUAGUCUUAACCAUAAACUAUGCCGACUAGGGAUCGGAUGAUGUUAAUUUUUUAAUGACUCA
rnacentral:rRNA from 1 species